AAAAGGAAAAUCAUGGAAGACCCUCUAUGCCCAUUAUGUGGAUUCGUGGUAGAGACUACAUGACACAUUUUGUGGGGUUGAGGAGCUGCCAAGGAUGUAUUGAGCAUGUGUGGUAGGAAGAUCCAAAAAAAAAAAUGUAUAGAGCAUGAGGAUUUUGUGAUCAUUGUAGAGACCCUCCAACAGGAAUUGGAGCCUAACGACUUGGAGCUCAUGGCAGUGAUGGCACAGAACUUAUGGCUACGUCGGAAUGUUGUUGUCCAUUGGGGACUUCUCAACCACGCUACCCUACUCAUGGCAAGGCCCUAGCUAUGGGAGGGUUUGUGAAGGUCAAUUGAGAUGCAGUUGUGAAUAAAUGUAACCGGAAGAUGGGUAUUAAUUGGGACCAUAAUUCGAGAUUGUCAGGGUGAGGUAUUUGCUUCUUUGUCUAGUUCCAAUGAUUAUAUUACUGACCCUGUUAUUGGUAAAGCCACAGCUGCUUGGAGAGCCACUAUAUUUUGUAGUGAGUUGGGGCACCAACGAGUAGAGUAGGAAGGUGACGCUCUUCAAGUAGUGUAGACUUUGCGAAAAGAAGAUAGUAAUUGGAGCAAAAAUAGCCAUCCAACUGAGGAGGCUCGUGGGGUCUUAAGCUAUCUCUAAUAAUGAAAAGUUACUCGUGUAAGAGAAAUCAUUAAGGGGCCGGCCCAUCAAUCUUGCAAAUGAAGCGCUCUUUUUUAGCGAUGAGCAUAUUUUCCUUGAAAAAGUUUUCUAUUA